GGCUCCGCAGUUUGUAGGUUAAAGCGUCUAUCUAGCGAAUAGGAAGUCAUGGGUUCGAUCCCCACCGGAGCAC
rnacentral:tRNA from 1 species